UUUCCGAAUGGGGGAACCCAGCACGAGUUAUGUCGUGUUAUCCGCAUGUGAAUACAUAGCAUGUGAGAAGGUAGACCCGGAGAACUGAAACAUCUUAGUACCCGGAGGAAGAGAAAGAAAAAUCGAUGCCCUGAGUAGCGGCGAGCGAAACGGGAAGAGCCCAAACCAACAAGCUUGCUUGUUGGGGUUGUAGGACACUCUGUACGGAGUUACAAAGGAA
rnacentral:rRNA from 1 species